GACAGAGGAUGCAAGCGUUAUCCGGAAUGAUUGGGCGUAAAGCGUCUGUAGGUGGCUUUUUAAGUCUGCCGUUAAAUCCCAGGGCUUAACCCUGGACAGGCGGUGGAAACUACCAAGCUGGAGUACGGUAGGGGCAGAGGGAAUUUCCGGUGGAGCGGUGAAAUGCGUAGAGAUCGGGUGGAACACCAGGGGCGAAGGCGGCCUGCUGGCUCUUGACUGACACUGAGGCGCGAGAGCGUGGGGAGCAAACGGG
rnacentral:rRNA from 1 species